CUUUUUUUGUUGUUUAUUAUUGCUUUUUUUCAUAGUACUUAGCUUCUGUGAAGAUAGCCACAAAUAUGAAUUUUUAGGUAUUUUCUAAUUUCAAGUGCUUAUUUCAGUAAGGUUGUCCAAAUAAAGAUAUAUUCCCCUGCACAUGUGACUCUGAAUUUGAAUCUCAAGGUGCUGGAGUCUGAAACUCUAUAUAGACUGAAAACUAUAUUUACCUGCCUUUAGCAGUAUUGAGUCUUAAUGGAGUAGACCUACAGCAAUGCUACCACACAUAGACACAACUGUAGGCUGCACAGGCAUAUUAUUAUUUUUUUUUUCCUGAUCUCUUUCCAUCCACUGGCCUCUUGCACAGCUGAAGCUCUGCUCUCAGCUGCAGCCCUUGGCUUAUGACAGGUGGCCCGAGUCCAGGCAGCCACCACAACUGCCUUCCACCCAGCUGGUAGCUACAGGCUUGCAGGCUGCAGAGCUCUGCCAAAAGCAACGUGAAAGAAGCAGCCAGUAGAACAACAUGCUAUCACACUACGAUGAGUUUGGCCAAACAAAUUGCCAUCUCUGGACUACUCUGAUAUCAGGGAAGAAAAACAAAGGAAGCAAACAAAAACAGAGAAGAAAAGCCAUGGCAAAGCCAGGUGCCCUUGUGAAGAAGUCCUCUGACAGGAUGAAUCAUGCUCUGGGAGAAGUAAUAGCUGUAGACGGCGUCAGAUUGGUAAGUUUUUCCUUUUCUUAAUCACUGAAUCUCCAUGUGUCCUUGCCAUGAAUACAUAACAAAUAGGAUCAGGAAAUGGAUUAAUAGAUCACUUGCUUCUAUUUACUCACAUAAAACAGUCCAAACAGAAUAGCUAUUUUUCACAUAGCUUUAGUGCCAGAGCUAGUUCUUUCUUGAUCCAAAUUAUCCAUCAUGUAUGACAUUUGUUGGAAACCUGAAAGUGAAAUUAUUUUUGCUAUAAUGAAAACAUGAAUACAAUACAUGAAUGUAAUUUAUUCUUAUAAAUUUAAAUUUAUGCUUAUGCUUAUAUUUAUGCAUAUAAAUUGCAACUUAUGCUUAUAAUUUGCAUCUCAGUUUUAAUUCUGAACAUUGCAAGCUCAGAUGGAAGUUCUCCAUCCAGCACUGGCAUCCUGCUUGUAUCUCACUGACUGAUAGCCCACUGAACUGGCUGGCUACCCAUCUCAUAUGAAUCUGUUUAAAACUCUAACCAGAUUAGAGAUGCCAAUGGCCAAUUCUUAUACAAGCCACUUGGACUGUAGACAGAAGAGUUACUUUCCUGGAAAUGUUCGUAAUGAAGGAAAAAAAAGAAGAGGAGAAAAAAGGGAGAGACUGUGUAAAAAGGGCAGCUGUUGCUAGUGAUGGAAAAGCCUUUUAGGCUCCACCUGCCUUGCUCGUGCCAGUAUCUUUAAGUACUACCUCCCUUGACAUGCUGAAUACACAUUACUGUCAAAUCUGAGUAUUAGGUGGAUAGAUAUGCAAGCCCACACUAGCAGCCAGCACAUUCAGGGGAAGUGUCAACAAUUUUCUGCAAACAUUGUACGUGGUAUCUUGCUGGGAGUUUGCUCAGGAGCACAUGCACAGUGUGAAGUAAUGUGCUCUUGUUUUACAAGCUGCAAGUUUAGCGCCAAUCAACUGCACUGCCCAGCCAUGGAAAAAGUGAUACAGAUGGGGGAUCUCUGACAGCCGAGGAUCAGACUGUCGAGUCUGAUGCCAAACAAAAAUAAAUGUACAUGUUGAGAAAUCUCUCUGGGUAAC
rnacentral:lncRNA from 1 species